GACGAACGCUGGCGGCGUGCUUAACACAUGCAAGUCGAACGGAAAAGCCCCGCCUUUGUGGGGUGGAUGAGUGGCGAACGGGUGAGUAACACGUGAGUAACCUGCCCCUGACUCUGGAAUAACCGCUGGAAACGGCGGCUAAUACUGGAUACGAGAUCGUGCCGCAUGGUGGCGGUCGGAAAGGUUUGUCGGUUGGGGAUGGACUCGCGGCCUAUCAGCUUGUUGGUGGGGUAGUGGCUUACCAAGGCUACGACGGGUAGCCGGCCUGAGAGGGGGACCGGCCACAAUGGGACUGAGAGACGGCCCAGACUCCUACGGGAGGCAGCAGUGGGGAAUAUUGCACAAUGGGCGAAAGCCUGAUGCAGCGACGCCGCGUGCGGGAUGACGGCCUUCGGGUUGUAAACCGCUUUCAGCUGGGACGAAGCGAAAGUGACGGUACCGGCAGAAGAAGCACCGGCUAACUACGUG
rnacentral:rRNA from 1 species